UGGGGAAUUUUGGACAAUGGGCGAAAGCCUGAUCCAGCCAUGCCGCGUGAGUGAAGAAGGCCUUCGGGUUGUAAAGCUCUUUUAGUCGGGAAGAAAGAGUUGCAAUGAAUAAUUGUGAUUUAUGACGGUACCGACAGAAAAAGCACCGGCUAACUACGUGCCAGCAGCCGCGGUAAUACGUAGGGUGCGAGCGUUAAUCGGAAUUACUGGGCGUAAAGGGUGCGCAGGCGGUCUUGCAAGUCAGACGUGAAAGCCCCGGGCUUAACCUGGGAAUUGCGUUUGAAACUACAAGGCUAGAGUGCAGCAGAGGGGAGUGGAAUUCCAUGUGUAGCAGUGAAAUGCGUAGAGAUGUGGAAGAACACCGAUGGCGAAGGCAGCUCCCUGGGUUGACACUGACGCUCAUGCACGAAAGCGUGGGGAGCAAACA
rnacentral:rRNA from 1 species